CAACCCUCAGGACCCCUCCGCGGGACCUGGCGUUGGGGAUUGGCCGUCAGCCAGCCCCUAAAUAUAGUGGCGGUCCCUCCGCGACCUCCCCUGUGCAGUAGCGAUACCUCGCAGCGGGAUAGCGGUUCGACCACGCCGUAAAAAGCCCAAUUUCUCAA
rnacentral:misc_RNA from 1 species